rnacentral:rRNA from 1 species
UACGUAGGGGCCUAGCGUUGUCCGGAAUUAUUGGGCGUAAAGAGCUCGUAGGCGGUUCGGUAAGUCAGGUGUGAAAUCUCCACGCUCAACGUGGAGGGGCCACCUGAUACUGCCGUGACUCGAGUCCGGUAGGGGAGUGUGGAAUUCCAGGUGUAGCGGUGAAAUGCGUAGAUAUCUGGAGGAACACCGGUGGCGAAGGCGGCAUCCUGGACCAACACUGACGCUGAGUGAGCGAAAGCCAGGGGAGCAAACGGG